rnacentral:lncRNA from 1 species
UUGUUAUUUUUGUUGAGUUAUGUUCUUAUUUUUGUUUAUAUAAGUAAAAUGUUUUGUGUUAUUAUUGUUGUUAUUGUUGAGCUAUGUUAUCGUUUUUGUUGAGAAGACUAAAGUGUUUUCUAUAUUUUAUAUUUGAUUCAAGGAGAAGACUAAAGUUCUUAUACGGUAGUGGUAUUAAUGAUGGAUUUCCGUCACUUUGCAAAGAGAAGACUAAAGUCAUUUCUAGGGGAAAUUGUUC